rnacentral:rRNA from 1 species
AGAUUGAACGCUGGCGGCAUGCCUAACACAUGCAAGUCGAGCGGCAGCACGGGGGCAACCCUGGUGGCGAGUGGCGAACGGGUGAGUAAUGCAUCGGAACGUAUCCUUGAGUGGGGGAUAACGCAGCGUAAAGUUGUGCUAAUACCGCAUAGCUCUGAGGAGGAAAGGCGGGGGACCGAAGGCCUCGCGCUGAAGGAGCGGCCGAUGUCCGAUUAGCUAGUUGGNGAGGUAAAGCUUACCGAAGGCGACGAGUCGGUAGCUGGUCUGAGAGGAUGAU